rnacentral:rRNA from 1 species
UAGUUGGUGAGGUAAUGGCUCACCAAGGCUAUGACGCAUAACUGGUCUGAGAGGAUGAUCAGUCACACUGGAACUGAGACACGGUCCAGACUCCUACGGGAGGCAGCAGUAGGGAAUAUUGCUCAAUGGGGGAAACCCUGAAGCAGCAACGCCGCGUGGAGGAUGACACUUUUCGGAGCGUAAACUCCUUUUCUUAGGGAAGAAAUUUGACGGUACCUAAGGAAUAAGCACCGGCUAACUCCGUGCCAGCAGCCGCGGUAAUACGGAGGGUGCAAGCGUUACUCGGAAUCACUGGGCGUAAAGGACGCGUAGGCGGAUUAUCAAGUCUUUUGUGAAAUCUAAUGGCUCAACCAUUAAACUGC